rnacentral:lncRNA from 1 species
GUUGAAUCGAAAAGGCACAGGUGACUUAUCCACUUCCCAGCAUGGGCAUGUGGGCUGUUUCCAACCUAGGUUAUUAUAAAUAAUGCCACAAUAAAUAUCUUUUCCAUAUUUAGGGCCAAUAGGACGGAUUCCCAGGUGUGGAUUGACAUCUCACCAAAUGCCAGCCCCAGGUCAUGCCCACAGAGACGCCUGCAGCAGCGCAUGG